CUUGAUUUGCCUCAUCAUUUCGAGCCUUGCAGCGCAAGCUGGAUAUCCUCUUUGAGUGAAUCGCUCGAUUAACACUAAACCAAAGACAGGGCAAAU
rfam:Legionella shakespearei DSM 23087 strain ATCC 49655 Lsha_ctg016, whole genome shotgun sequence.